rnacentral:tRNA from 1 species
GGAGAGAUGGGUGAGUGGCUAAAACCAGUAGUUUGCUAAACUGCCGAACGGGUCAUUCUGUUCCGCGGGUUCGAAUCCCGCUCUCUCCG